rnacentral:tRNA from 1 species
GUUUCCGUGGUGUAGUGGUUAUCACGCUCGCCUAACACGCGAGAGGUCCUUGGUUCAAAACCAAGCGGAAACA